rnacentral:piRNA from 1 species
UGCCCUUGCCUUGUGCAAUUAGACACAUU